ACGGGUGAGUAACACGUGAGUAACCUGCCCUUAACUCUGGGAUAAGCCUGGGAAACUGGGUCUAAUACCGGAUAUGACUCCUCAUCGCAUGGUGGGGGGUGGAAAGCUUUAUUGUGGUUUUGGAUGGACUCGCGGCCUAUCAGCUUGUUGGUGAGGUAAUGGCUCACCAAGGCGACGACGGGUAGCCGGCCUGAGAGGGUGACCGGCCACACUGGGACUGAGACACGGCCCAGACUCCUACGGGAGGCAGCAGUGGGGAAUAUUGCACAAUGGGCGCAAGCCUGAUGCAGCGACGCCGCGUGAGGGAUGACGGCCUUCGGGUUGUAAACCUCUUUCAGUAGGGAAGAAGCGAAAGUGACGGUACCCGCAGAAGAAGCGCCGGCUAACUACGUGCCAGCAGCCGCGGUAAUACGUAGGGCGCAAGCGUUAUCCGGAAUUAUUGGGCGUAUAGAGCUCGUAGGCGGUUUGUCGCGUCUGCCGUGAAAGUCCGGGGCUCAACUCCGGAUCUGCGGUGGGUACGGGCAGACUAGAGUGAUGUAGGGGAGACUGGAAUUCCUGGUGUAGCGGUGAAAUGCGCAGA
rnacentral:rRNA from 1 species